rnacentral:rRNA from 1 species
UACGUAGGGCGCAAGCGUUGUCCGGAAUUAUUGGGCGUAAAGAGCUCGUAGGUGGCUUGUCACGUCGGGUGUGAAAGCUUGGGGCUUAACUCCAGGUCUGCAUUCGAUACGGGCUGGCUAGAGGUAGGUAGGGGAGAACGGAAUUCCUGGUGUAGCGGUGAAAUGCGCAGAUAUCAGGAGGAACACCGGUGGCGAAGGCGGUUCUCUGGGCCUUACCUGACGCUGAAGCACGAAAGCGUGGGGAGCAAACAGG